AUACGUAGGGGGCGAGCGUUGUCCGGAAUGAUUGGGCGUAAAGGGCGCGUAGGCGGCGCGGUAAGUCUGGAGUGAAAGUCCUGCUUUCAAGGUGGGAAUUGCUUUGGAUACUGCCGCGCUUGAGUGCAGGAGAGGUUAUCGGAAUUCCCGGUGUAGCGGUGAAAUGCGUAGAUAUUCGGAGGAACACCGGUGGCGAAGGCGGCCUACUGGGCUUUAACUGACGCUGAGGCUCGAAAGUGUGGGGAGCAAACAGGAUUAGAUACCCUGGUAGUCCACACUGUAAACGAUGAUUGCUAGGUGUGGGGGGUCUGACCCCUUCCGUGCCGCAGUUAACGCAAUAAGCAAUCCACCUGGGGAGUACGGCCGCUAGGCUAAAACUCAAAUGAAUUGACGGGG
rnacentral:rRNA from 1 species